rnacentral:rRNA from 1 species
AUUGAACGCUGGCGGCAGGCCUAACACAUGCAAGUCGAGCGGAUGAAGGGAGCUUGCUCCUGGAUUCAGCGGCGGACGGGUGAGUAAUGCCUAGGAAUCUGCCUGGUAGUGGGGGAUAACGUCCGGAAACGGGCGCUAAUACCGCAUACGUCCUGAGGGAGAAAGUGGGGGAUCUUCGGACCUCACGCUAUCAGAUGAGCCUAGGUCGGAUUAGCUAGUUGGUGGGGUAAAGGCCUACCAAGGCGACGAUCCGUAACUGGUCUGAGAGGAUGAUCAGUCACACUGGAACUGAGACACGGUCCAGACUCCUACGAGAGGCAGCAGUGGGGAAUAUUGGACAAUGGGCGAAAGCCUGAUCCAGCCAUGCCGCGUGUGUGAAGAAGGCCUUCGGAUUGUAAAGCACUUUAAGUUGGGAGGAAGGGCAGUAAGUUAAUACCUUGCUGUUUUGACGUUACCAACAGAAUAAGCACCGGCUAACUUCGUG